rnacentral:rRNA from 1 species
CCUACGGGUGGCAGCAGUGGGGAAUAUUGCACAAUGGGGGAAACCCUGAUGCAGCGACGCCGCGUGAGUGAAGAAGUAUUUCGGUACGUAAAGCUCUAUCAGCAGGGAAGAAAAUGACGGUACCUGACUAAGAAGCCCCGGCUAACUACGUGCCAGCAGCCGCGGUAAUACGUAGGGGGCAAGCGUUAUCCGGAUUUACUGGGUGUAAAGGGAGCGUAGACGGCAGCGCAAGUCUGGAGUGAAAUCCCAUGGCUUAACCAUGGAACUGCUUUGGAAACUGUGCAGCUAGAGUGCAGGAGAGGUAAGCGGAAUUCCUAGUGUAGCGGGGAAAUGCGUAGAUAUUAGGAGGAACACCAGUGGCGAAGGCGGCUUACUGGACUGUAACUGACGUUGAGGCUCGAAAGCGUGGGGAGCAAACAGGAUUAGAUACCCCAGUAGUC